GACGAACGCUGGCGGCGUGCUUAACACAUGCAAGUCGAACGGAAAGGCCCUGUUUCCGUGGGGUGCUCGAGUGGCGAACGGGAGAGUAACACGUGAGUAACCUGCCCUUGACUUUGAGAUAACUUCAGGAAACUGGGGCUAAUACCGGAUAGGAGCUACUGCUGCAGAGGAGGGGUUGGAAAGUUCCGGCGGUGGGGGAUGGACUCGAGGCUUCUCAGCUUGUUGGUGGUGAAGUGGCUUACCAAGUCUUGGACGAGUAGCCGGCCUCAGAGCGUGACCGGCCUCAACGUUCCUAGAAUAAGCCCCAGAAUCCAACGGGAGGCAGCAGUGGAGAAUACUGCGCAACAAGCGGACACAUGAUGCAGGAACGCCGCGAACGGGAGGACGACCUUCGGCUUGUAAAGCGCUUUCGUAUGUGACGAAGCGUGAGUGACGGUAAUGGGUAAAGAAGCACCGGCUAACUACGUG
rnacentral:rRNA from 1 species